rnacentral:rRNA from 1 species
UACGGAGGGGGCUAGCGUUGUUCGGAAUUACUGGGCGUAAAGCGCGCGUAGGCGGACCUGCAAGUCGGGGGUGAAAGCCCGAGGCUCAACCUCGAGACGCCGAUGGAAACCAUCUGGCUAGAGUCCGGAAGAGGAGAGUGGAAUUCCUGGUGUAGCGGUGAAAUGCGCAGAUAUCAGGAAGAACACCCAUGGCGAAAGCAGCUCUCUGGUACGGUACUGACGCUGAGACGCGAAAGCGUGGGGAGCGAACAGG